rfam:Gossypium hirsutum cultivar TM-1 chromosome 11, whole genome shotgun sequence
AACCCAUGGUGAUGGCACCUUCUCAAAAGGUUUUUGUAUCUCUCCCAUGCAUCGUAGAGUGUUUCUAAAUCCAUCUGCACAAAAGAAGAGAUAUCAUUAUUUAAUUU